ACACCCCCUUCCUAGAAGUGGCAUCAAAGUAGUAUGCUACCACUUCUUUUGUAGAUCCUUACCCACACUACUUCAAGAAGACCUCGCACUGAUACCAAUGUGGGAGAUCAAGUCUCUACAAGGAAACUCAAAUCUUUAUUCACUACUCAAUUUGAUACAAGACUCACUUGCACACUCUUUUUGUGACUAUCCUACCAUGACACCAUUACACUACAUAGCUACCUUGUAAUCUCCUACUUGAGACCUCUUAUGCCAU
rnacentral:lncRNA from 1 species